rnacentral:rRNA from 1 species
UACGUAGGGGGCAAGCGUUGUCCGGAUUUAUUGGGCGUAAAGAGCGUGUAGGCGGCUUUACAGGUCCGUUGUGAAAACUCGAGGCUCAACCUCGAGACGCCGGUGGAAACCGUAAGGCUAGAGUCCGGAAGAGGAGAGUGGAAUUCCUGGUGUAGCGGUGAAAUGCGCAGAUAUCAGGAAGAACACCCGUGGCGAAAGCGGCUCUCUGGAACGCAACUGACGCUGAGACGCGAAAGCGUGGGGAGCAAACAGG